CCUACGGGUGGCUGCAGUGGGGAAUAUUGCACAAUGGGGGAAACCCUGAUGCAGCGACGCCGCGUGAGUGAAGAAGUACUUCGUUACGUAAAGCUCUAUCAGCAGGGAAGAAACACUGACCUUACGGUCAGCAGACGGUACCUGAGUAAGAAGCCCCGGCUAACUACGUGCCAGCAGCCGCGGUAUUACGUAGGGGGCAAGCGUUAUCCGGAUUUACUGGGUGUAAAGGGAGCGUAGACGGUGCGCCAAGUCUGGAGUGAAAUGCCGCGGCUUAACUGCGGAACUGCUUUGGAAACUGGCGGACUAGAGUGCGGGAGGGGUAAGCGGAAUUCGUGGUGUAGCGGUGAAAUGCGUAGAUAUUAGGAAGAACACCGGUGGCGAAGGCAGCUUACUGGACCGUAACUGACGUUGAGGCUCGAAAGCGUGGGGAGCAAACAGGAUUAGAUACCCGAGUAGUC
rnacentral:rRNA from 1 species